GAUGAAGAACGUAGCGAAAUGCGAUAAGUAAUGUGAAUUGCAGAAUUCAGUGAAUCAUCGAAUCUUUGAACGCACAUUGCGCCCCUUGGUAUUCCAUGGGGCAUGCCUGUUCGAGCGUCAUCUACACCCUCAAGCUCUGCUUGGUGUUGGGCGUCUGUCCCGCCUCUGCGCGCGGACUCGCCCCAAAUUCAUUGGCAGCGGUCCUUGCCUCCUCUCGCGCAGCACAUUGCGCUUCUCGAGGUGCGCGGCCCGCGUCCACGAAGCAACAUUACCGUCUUUGACCUCGGAUCAGGUAGGGAUACCCGCUGAACUUAAGCAUAUCAAUAAGCGGAGGA
rnacentral:misc_RNA from 1 species